CUCUGCCCCGAUCUGCAAUGGUUGCUCUCGCUGCGGCUGGGGAGAGCGGCAGGAGCCGCGCUAGGAGCGCUCUUGCGCAGCGCACCCGGCUUGGGUCCAACGCCUCCUCCUGGGAGAGUUGAAGGGAAAGUUUUCGAAACAGCCCCUCCCUUGGCUGCCCUGAGAAAAAGGGCUCAGGAAUACGAAAGGCUAAGAGAGGGGGAGAAGAAAGAAGAAAGCAGAGAAUGGGUUAACUCAGCACUGCAGCUAGCAAGCCUAGUCCGAAAAUAAGACGCUGGCCCCCACCCAAGGACACUGCUCACAGCAGAGACUUGGCUGACAGCCAAAAAAGAUAGGGGCUUGAAUGUGCCCGAGCGGCCGUGGAAAAAAGAACUAAGUGAGACACAGAGCUGCAAAAAUAACAGUGAGACUAGUGAAGGCUAAAACAAAAAAGAAAACAGUCUCCGGAGUCGGGAUGUUUUGGGAAAGGGAAAGAGACCACAGAAAGCAAUUUGGACUGGCACAAGGAGCACCAGGAACAGAGGUCGCAGAAUGAAACACCCCCAAAGGAGCCCAGGACUUAAAACCUUCCUGAGAGCUGGAGCAAUUCAGAGAUUACAGUGGAUGACCCGGAUGACCUGGGCCCAGGGCAAGAACUCCUGUCCACCCCUUCCCCUCUUCUUCUUACGUUACACCCAGGCCUGGCCAGCUUUAUGUAGUGCGUGUCGCACACCCAAGAGCAACUUUUCAUAUUCCAGACAGAUGCCUCCUCCUUCAUGGUGUUAAAACACACAUUUAACCUUGAGAGAAAUGCCUUUGCCACAGCCGUCCUGAUGGGCCAUCUAUGUCAACAAAAAAAUGUGUUAUGCUAUGUUAGUCAUAAAGCCAGAAGUCAUUAUUGACUGGUAUGUGCAAUUGUUGCUGUUCUAACAAUCUUGUGCAUGCUGUAUUGCUGUUUAUGUAAAAGGCCAACAGUAACCCUUGCCGCUAUACCAGGGGGAGGAUAAAAACCUAAAUGGUGACUCCUCCCAACAAAAUGUUGAUUCGGGGUCAAGGGGAGGAAUGUCACACCCAAUGGCCCCCUCCCUCAGGGAGUCCCCAGGGAAGGCAGAUCAGCAUUUUAUGUGGCUAACGCUGUUGCA